rnacentral:rRNA from 1 species
GACGAACGCUGGCGGCGUGCUUAACACAUGCAAGUCGUACGGUAAGGCCCUUUCGGGGGUACACGAGUGGCGAACGGGUGAGUAACACGUGAGUAACCUGCCCACAACUUUGGGAUAACGCUAGGAAACUGGUGCUAAUACUGGAUAUGUUCUCCUGCUGCAUGGUGGGGGUUGGAAAGCUCCGGCGGUUGUGGAUGGACUCGCGGCCUAUCAGCUUGUUGGUGGGGUAGUGGCCUACCAAGGCGGCGACGGGUAGCCGGCCUGAGAGGGUGACCGGCCACAUUGGGACUGAGAUACGGCCCAGACUCCUACGGGAGGCAGCAGUGGGGAAUAUUGAACAAUGGGCGCAAGCCUGAUGCAGCAACGCCGCGUGCGGGAUGACGGCCUUCGGGUUGUAAACCGCUUUCAGCAGGGACGAAGCUUUUUGUGACGGUACCUGCAGAAGAAGCACCGGCUAACUACGUG